rnacentral:rRNA from 1 species
ACUGAAACAUCUAAGUACCUGGAGGAAGAGAAAGCAAAUGCGAUUUCCUGAGUAGCGGCGAGCGAAACGGAACAUAGCCCAAACCAAGAGGCUUGCCUCUUGGGGUUGUAGGACAUUCUAUACGGAGUUACAAAGGAACGAGGUAGACGAAGCGACCUGGAAAGGUCCGUCGUAGAGGGUAACAACCCCGUAGUCGAAACUUCGUUCUCUCUUGAAUGUAUCCUGAGUACGGCGGAACACGUGAAAUUCCGUCGGAAUCUGGGAGGACCAUCUCCCAAGGCUAAAUACUCCCUAGUGAUCGAUAGUGAACCAGUACCGUGAGGGAAAGGUGAAAAGCACCCCGGAAGGGGAGUGAAAGAGAUCCUGAAACCGUGUGCCUA